rnacentral:rRNA from 1 species
UACGUAGGGGGCGAGCGUUGUCCGGAAUUAUUGGGCGUAAAGAGCGUGUAGGCGGUUCGGUAAGUCUGUCGUGAAAUCCUGAGGCUCAACCUCGGGCGUGCGAUGGAUACUGCCGGGCUAGAGGGUGGUAGAGGCGAGUGGAAUUCCCGGUGUAGCGGUGAAAUGCGCAGAUAUCGGGAGGAACACCAAUGGCGAAGGCAGCUCGCUGGGACGUUACUGACGCUGAGACGCGAAAGCAUGGGGAGCAAACAGG